CAAUGAACCAUGGCAAUUCUAGAAGUCAGGUGAAUAGUUUGUAAGAAGGCUGCUAUUAAGCAUCCAUUAGCAAUAGGAGUUCCUGCAGAAGUUACGAAAUCCAGGGUAUUUCCAAAUUUUGCCAACAGCAUGGCAGACUCCAAAAGCAUAUCUAGAGUCUGUGUAAACAGUGGCAGUUUUCCCUUUUGCUAAUGUGCAAGCUCUAGUAAGAGCUACGAGUUUAACAGCUUGGGCUGAUUUUACAGUGGGUAAAGAAUAAGCUUCAAGCGUUUCAUGCGGGGAAACUAUGGCAUAACCAGUUAUUAUGUUUCCCCAGAAAUUUCACUUACAGGAGCCAUCGGAAAACAGAAUAGGAUCUUCUGACAGCGGAAGCAGAAGAGUUUUAUAAUUCAAGAGAUUGGCUGAUGUCCAGAGGACAUGAAUUCUCUGCAGCGGAGGUCCAGGAUACGUCCACAAUGGGCACUGCAUAGGAAUCCCUCAAGCUGGCGGAGCCUGAUCGCAGAGCCCUGGAAAGCAGGAGGACUUACAAGGGACAGCAAAGCCAGCCUUCCUGCCAUUUCUGGAUGCUUCCACAGAAUUCACUUCCUGGCUUUCAGCAUUUACACAAGUGACCCUUGUGCCUCUUACUUGGAAGUCAGGCCUGAGAGCCCCCAUAAGUCUUCUAGAAAGAAAGAAGUUAAAACAGGCAGCUGAAUGCCCUUUGGGGAAGUUGGCAUUCUAGGAUCUAGGGGAACUGGCUGAGGAGCUAAGUCCUGAGGGGGACGGUUUGAACCAGGAGCCCAGAGAUCCAACAGAUCUUAGGAAUCAGGGACAGGGAGCUGGGGACAUAGGGGAACAGAGGAGGGAGGAGAAGGGGAGUUUUCAUUGAAUUUGCUUCUUAAUCGUUGCUCUAAGUCUGACUUCUGUUCUUUCAACUUAUUAAGAGAUCUCUUAAGGCUAGCCAGUAUACUUUUUUGGGUUUUCUUUUCAACUUGAUCUUCCCAUAAAUACCAAUAAGGCAGCUGCUUGGGAUGUGAGCCCUCUAAAAUAUUUUUCAAAUAUAGAAGUUUUUCCAACUCAAAAGAUCCAUUGUCUGACCAUUGAUGAGUAGGAUCUCCAUUUGUAUAGUUAUUCCAAUAGUGACUCAAUCCACAAGCUUUUUUUAAGGAAAGACUCAGAGGUAACUUUCCUGGCUUAGGAUAAACCUUUACCAUGGACACAAGAGGCGUCCCUGGGGAGGGCACAGAUGAUGUAGCCCCAAGAUCCACAAGUUCACUCGCAGAACUAGUCAGAGAAAGGGAAGACCUUCGUGGCACAGGCGGUAAGGAUGGUGUAGUGAAAACGGUGUCUCUUGUCUCCCACGAGAGCGGGGGAUGCCUCCAGUAACAGACCCGCUAAUCUGUGACACCAGGCAGGUGCUACUAGAAUGGGAUUUUCUAGCACUGUCAAGCAACGAAGGUUGAGACGACAAAGGCCCAUAUGGUUCGGACCCUUUAUGACAGACUCCCCUGGGAGCUUAACACAGCCGGACAGAGACAGA
rnacentral:lncRNA from 1 species